GUAGUCCACGCCCUAAACGAUGCAUAUUUGGUGUAGGUCAUUCAGUUGAUCUGUGCCGGAGCUAACGCGUUAAAUAUGCCGCCUGGGGAGUACAGUCGCAAGGCUGAAACUCAAAGGAAUUGACGGGGGCCCGCACAAGCGGUGGAGCAUGUGGUUCAAUUCGACGCAACGCGAAGAACCUUACCUGGGCUCGAACGGUCAGUCAACGAUCGUGGAAACACGGUUACUCCGCAAGGGGGUCUGAUCGAGGUGCUGCAUGGCUGUCGUCAGCUCGUGUCGUGAGAUGUUGGGUUAAGUCCCGCAACGAGCGCAACCCUUGUCCUGUGUUGCCAACCCGCAAGGGGGGACUCGCAGGAGACCGCCAGCGAUAAGCUGGA
rnacentral:rRNA from 1 species